rnacentral:lncRNA from 1 species
CAUUCAGUACCACCUCACGUGGUCUGCAUCUCAUCACUGUAUAUAUCAUAAUAUGCUCUAGUGCUACAAUCACGUGAAGCUGUGCGAUAAAUCGCGGGUCACCUACAAGUCGAACCCACAUAAGUGGUCUAUACGACAGGCUAUACACCUACUUGGAUCCAAGGCGAGCAUGCGGUGUGGGAGGUGAACAUACACGUGAAGGCUAUGCCUCUCUCUAGGCGGGAGCACUUAUAUACGUGUGCAAGUAAAUGAGCUUUCUAUCACAUCUCAAUCAUAUAACUCAACAUAUCUCAACCAUAUCUCAUCACAUUUCAUACAUAUCUCAAUCACAUUUCAUACAUAUCUCAAUCACAUUUCAUACAUAUCUCAAUCACGUUUCAUGCGUAUUUCAAUUGUAUAUUAUACAUAUAUCAAAUGCAUAUCGUACGUAUUUCAAAUGUAUAUUAUACGUAUUUUUAUACGUAUUUCAAAUGUAUAUAAAAUGUAUCUAAUACGUAUGUCAAUUGUAUUUCAAUAAUAUUCAAACGUAUCUUAAUCGUAUUUCCAUAGUAUUUCAUUCAUUUUCAACAUAAUAUGUCACAUGUAACGUACCUGGGCCUUCUCAGCACCAUGCAACAAUAUGUAUAAUUAUGGUAAUGCACAUAUCAAAAUAUAAUGCAUAUUUGACAAGUUAUUUAAUUCGUAUUUAUAUUUAAAAUACGUUUUCUAGGAAACACGUCAAGUAUACUUAUAUAUAUACUGAAAAAUAACUGCCCACUCACUGAUAAGUAGCCGGUUCGUAACCCCCUCGCCUAUUUUGGUUACGUUCUUCGUCCGUAUAAUUUUCACCUAUACAAAAAUAAUUAUAAAACAUUAUUUAAUAUGCACAUACACAAACAUACGUCAAUAACUUCUCAUACGUUGCUCAAUUUGGGUAUGUGAAUAUACCACGGUGACUUACUCGACGUCACGAAUACGUACAUAAUUUUAAUUAAUUUUUUAUUGGCUCACGCGCCCCCACGCGCCGUGGGUGGCACUGACCUACGCGCGGCCCACGCGCAGGGAAUCCUGACGGAAACCUAACGGCGUCAGGAAUAUUCCGUUAAACAUAACGGAAUAUUCUGUCUUCUUCUCCGACGGUCCUCGCCGGACUCCGGUCGCCGGAAAAACUGGGAAAUUUUCAUUUCGCCUAUUCUCACUCGUUUUUGGUCCAUUUUCUUCGAAUUUUAUACCAAUUUAAAGCCCUCAACCUAUAGAAUCACGUUGGACUAGUUUUAGGGUCUAAAAACAACGAGAUUUUACCUUCCAGAAUUUCUCAAAAUCGGCCAAACUCGAACUGGGUGAUCCUGACGUCCAAAACUUCCCAACGUUACACUCCGAGCAUCCUUGGGACCUUCUAAGACUCAAUGUGAUCUUUGUUUAGCCUAAAACAUAGCCAUAAUAAAGUUUAUGAACAGUACAUAAACACGGGACCUUUGAAACUAGAGUUUUUCGAAACGAAACUCACCUGAAUUUGGUAUCCCCGUGUUCGUGAAGUUCUCAGGAUCACGAUGGUGGUCUUAGAUCCAACGUUCGUACAAGUUUGAUUGAGUUUUUGUGUGUGUGUUGCUUACGGGUUCGAGAGGGAGAGUUAGAGAGAGAGAGAGAGACUGUCGAGGGAUAGAGAGAGAGAGAGUUUCAGGUUCGUGUGAGGGAAUGACGAUGAGUGAAGGUAUUAUUAAGGGAGGCAGUGGAGCACUUCACGGAAAGGAAAUGGAAAUGGAAUCGGACGUGUGAUCCAUUCCUUAGCCUUUAAUCAUUCAACAUAUAAAAUAGCCGUCCAAACCUUAAACAAUUGUAUAAGGAUUUAGGGUAUUUAACACACUGUAUACAUAUGACACGUUAAAUCGGGACGGGUUGUCACAGAAAAAAUGGAAUUUAAAAAAAAUAUGAACCAAAUUUUGUGAAAUAGAAGUUAUAGGAAAAAAAUGGAAUUUAAAAAAAAAUAUGAACCAAAUUUUGUGAAAUAGAAAUUAUAGGAAAAAAUAGAAGUUAUAUGAAAAUUUUUGUAAAUAAAAAAAAAAUGUAAAAAAAUAAAAAAUAAAAUAAAAUGCAAAGGCUAGUAGUCGUUUCAUUUGAAUUUUUUUUAAAAAAAAAUCCUGUCCGUUAUAACCCACAGGAAUACACCAUUAUUUAGUAUA